UAGCAUAUCAAUAAGCGGAGGAAAAGAAACCAACAGGGAUUGCCUUAGUAACUGCGAGUGAAGCGGCAAGAGCUCAAAUUUGAAAUCUGACGUCAUAUCGGCGUCCGAGUUGUAAUUUGGAGGGGCAUAUUCGGUGGUGGCGCCGUCAUAAGUUCCUUGGAACAGGACGUCAUAGAGGGUGAGAAUCCCGUGCCUGGAUGGCCGUCCAUCACCUUGUGAAUUGUCUCCGACGAGUCGAGUUGUUUGGGAAUGCAGCUCAAAAUGGGUGGUAAAUUUCAUCUAAAGCUAAAUAUUGGCGAGAGACCGAUAGCGCACAAGUAGAGUGAUCGAAAGAUGAAAAGCACUUUGAAAAGAGAGUUAAAAAGUACGUGAAAUUGUUGAAAGGGAAGCGCUUGCGACCAGACUCGAUCUUUGGCGAUCAGCCGGGCCUUUUCGGCCUGGUGCCCUCGCCUCUGAUCGGGCCAGCAUCGGUUCCGAGGGCGGGAUAAAAGGUCGGGGAAUGUGGCUUCCCUCGGGGAGUGUUAUAGACCCGAUCAUAAUGCCGCCACUUGGGACCGAGGACCGCGCUUCGGCUAGGAUGCUGGCGUAAUGGUCUUAAGCGACCCGUCUUGAAACACGGACCAAGGAGUCUAACAUCUAUGCGAGUGUUCGGGUGGAAAACCCUUGCGCGUAAUGAAAGUGAACGGAGGUGUGAACCCGCAAGGGCGCAACAUCGACCGGUCCUGAUGUCUUCGGAAGGAUCUGAGUAAGAGCAUAGCUGUUGGGACCCGAAAGAUGGUGAACUAUGCCUGAAUAGGGUGAAGCCAGAGGAAACUCUGGUGGAGGCUCGCAGCGGCUCUGACGUGCAAAUCGAUCGUCAAAUUUGGGUAUAGGGGCGAAAGACUAAUCGAACCAUCUAGUAGCUGGUUCCUGCCGAGCU
rnacentral:rRNA from 1 species